GCUCGAUUCGCCAGCACAUAUACUAUUUUGGAACAAUACAGAGAAGAUUAGCAUGGAUGACACGCAAAAUCUUUAAAUCAAUUCUACUUGC